GAUGAACGCUAGCGAUAGGCUUAACACAUGCAAGUCGAGGGGCAGCAUGGUCUUAGCUUGCUAAGGCUGAUGGCGACCGGCGCACGGGUGCGUAACGCGUAUGCAACUUGCCUCACAGAGGGGGAUAACCCGUCGAAAGACGGACUAAUACCGCGUACACUCUAUGUUGGGCAUCCAAUGUAGAGGAAAUGAAAUUCGCUGUGAGAUAGGCAUGCGUCCCAUUAGCUAGUUGGUGAGGUAACGGCUCACCAAGGCGACGAUGGGUAGGGGAACUGAGAGGUUGAACCCCCACAAUGGUACUGAGACACGGACCAGACUCCUACGGGAGGCAGCAGUGAGGAAUAUUGGUCAAUGGGCGAGAGCCUGAACCAGCCAAGUCGCGUGAAGGAUGACUGUCUUAUGGAUUGUAAACUUCUUUUAUACGGGAAUAACAAGAGUCACGUGUGGCUCCCUGCAUGUACCGUAUGAAUAAGCAUCGGCUAACUCCGUG
rnacentral:rRNA from 1 species